rnacentral:rRNA from 1 species
GUGAAGCCCCCCUCAAGAUGAGAUAUCCAGACUCGAAAGAGUGAGAGACCCCUUAGAGACGAUGAGGUAGAUAGGGCAGAGAUGGAAGCACAGUGAUGUGUGGAGUUGACUGUUACUAAUCGGUCGAGAGCUUGACCUUA